CUAAAAUGGCUGGGGUGUUGCAAGGCUGAGGCUCAGCCACGUAAUGGAAACUCAGGCCGUCAGAAACGCCAUUGUAACCCCCCUUCAAAAAGCACUAACGAGUACCUACCGGGCUCCAGAAAGCCUUAAAAGGUACUCAAGAAUUAUCAAGCAAGUCCCAAGUAAUGGCUCUGAGUUUUUGUGAACUGUUGGAGGGUCUACUUCUAUGUGAUUUUCACCUAAAUUUUGAGCUCAAAUCUACUUGCUAAUAAGUCUUAAAUAUUUCUGGAUACAUAGUUUACAGACAAGUUGCAUAAGCUUUUAGAAAAAUCUAGAAAGGCUUCUAAACGAAAUUCUAUUUUUAACACUUCCGAGGGACUAUUUUUGCUUCCCUCACAAAGACGGCGGAGGGUUAUUAAAUUCAGCGGGGUGAGUUGUCCUUGGUCUAUAAAUACGCGGCUCCGGACGCAGCGGCAGGCAUUCAGGCAGCGAGCGCAGAGGUGGCUGGAGAGGGAGGAGGAGCUGCUUAAGGAAACCGCAGAUAAGUUGCUUUGUUAGAAAUGAUAGAAGUUAGUACAAUUCUUUAGGAGAUGUAAAUAGCGAGAAUAUUUAAGUUAAUGCUUAGCAUUAAGUUUUUAAAGUAGUUUCGAUAAUAAGAUCUUGCCGAAGGGAAAAUAAUGAAGACUGACUUGAAAAGUAGUUUGAGAAAGGAGGAGAGAAGAAAAAAGAUAUUUCUAGAAUAUGAGGGAGGUUAAGAGAUGAAGCUUAGUAAUGGAGUGAGAUAAUUUUAAAUAGCUGAAAGGACUGCGAAGUCCGAAAUCAAAACGGCAUUAAAUUGAAGAGCAGCGUUUUAGAUUAACUUUAAAACGCAGAUGACGUAAAUAGAACCUAAACGUUUUAGAAAAUGAGGUUUUAGAUGACGAAAAUAUUUUAAACGCCGUCUCUUAAAAAGAUUAAAGGUGAUUUAAGAGCGAGACCUUCAUAUUCGUGGCGCAGGAAAGGUGAUUUGAAGCCUAGUUGGUCUUAUGGCAUUAUUUGCUAAAAAUUGAUGGAAAUAGUAAUUGGGAGUGGCAGGAUAAAAAUUUGGAGAAAGAAGAUUAGAAAUUAGAAGUGGAAAACACAGAAGACAGAAGUACAGGAAGGUGAAGAAAAGACUUAGAAGAUAGGAAAAAUAGAAGAUAAGACGCCUCUAGAAGACAGAAAAACUAAUUUCAAAGCCAAAAGGUAGGAAGCAGAAGAAAAAGUACUUAGACAAAUUAGGAAACCAAAGCAACUAAAGGCCCAGAUAGAAAUUAAGUAGGAAACCAGAAGAGAGAAAAAACAAGGUUGAAAAUACAGUCAAGGAGAAGUGUUUCAGAUAGAAAAUGAAAAGCUAGGACAAACUAUUGGAUACGAGCAUACAAGAUAGACAUGAAAAAAUUAGAAAAAUUUAAAGCUAAAAAAUUGGAUAAAGUACAAGAGCAGAAAAACAGAGGAAAUUAGCUUUUUAUAGUGAUAGGAAUUUUUUAAAAGCCUAUCAAUUUAAUCUCCGGUGAUGCGGAAGUUAGAAUUGAGAAGAUGAGGGUUAAACUACUGUAGACCAGGACCAAUUUAGAAGAAUUUCCGGAAGCUAGAAGAGAAAUCAGUUAAAAAUCUCAGCCAAAAGCUACUAAGAGGACUGAAGUAAUUUAAUAAAAAUUAAGAAUGGUUGUGGAAGAGUUAAAAAUUUGAAAUGCCUUAAAUAUAGUAGCUUAGUUUUCUUUGGAAAAUUUAAAGGACUUUGAUAACAAUUCAAGAUCAAGAAUACUCAGCAGUUUAACCAUUUGGCGCUGGACUUUGAGCUCAGAUGAUUUAAAUGCCGAGGACUAGCGUUAAUUGACAGCUGACGCAGGUGCUACGCAGAAGUGGAUUCAGUGAUCUAGGAAGACAGGAGCGGCAGACAGGAUCCCGGGAGCCAGUGUGCUGAAGCUAGGACGGAGGCCGAGCGGCCGUUCGCGGUGAAGAUAGGAAGGAGCCCGGGAGCCAGUGCUUGUGGUGAAGGCAGCUAGGAAGAAGGAAGGAGCGCUAACGCGUGGAGGCGCAGCUAGGCCAGAGUCCGGGAAGCAGGAGCCUGUGCUGUGUGAUGAAGCUAGCGGGCGGCUUGGCUUGGCGACCCCGCGGCGGCGGCGAGCAGGCGGAGUGGAGGCUAGCUAGAGCAUCCUAGAGCAGCGCCCGGUGUGCGAGGCCGCGGGGAGAGCGAGUGGCGUGGUAAAGAUCCGCGAGGUCGGCAGUACCGUGCUGGGUUGUUUUUGGUAACUUGAGCGUGGUAACCUUUCCUUAUUUUCCUAACGGUAACGGGGGAGUUGCGUACUUAAGCGUCAAGGGAUUUACUACGGGGAUGUAGGCCGAUUUCCGGGUGUCGUAGGUUUUUCUUUUUCAGGCUUGUUUUCUCAUCUUGUCUGAAGCUUUUGAGGGCAGACUUCCAAGCCCGGAGGAAUGGUAGAUGGCAAGUUUUUUUUUUUAAAAAACCGAUCUGAGGGAAACCAAAUGAAUUUGAUAGAACAACUUUGAGACAAAUGUUGGCAAGUUUUAUACGCAGUUUCUAUUUUUAGCUUGGAGUAAUGAAGCAUUUCAGUUCUGUGAAUAGAUGACCUAUUUUUCUGUCCUCACCCUGUAUUAAAGUUUUCUAAAGGUGGAGUUGGGGUGUGUAACUUUGGGGGGAGUUUUUGUGGGGUUGGGGGGCAAAAUAUGUUUUGAGUUCUUUUCCCCUUAGGUCGGUCUGUCUAGAAUCCAAAAGGCAGAUGACUCAAGUUAACAGAAAAAAGGAAAAUCCAGUAUCAGGAUAAUCAGAACACCACAGGUUUACAGUUUCUAGAAACUAGAACACGAGCAGCUCUCACUUUGAGGUGUGUGGCGGAAUUAUCCAUUGGAGAAAUGGCUGGUAGUUAUUCUUUUUUCCACCCCUUAAUCAGAUCUUCAAAGUAUGUAACCCCUUAAACAUUAUUUUUACUUGGAGUAUUUUGGAGUGGUCUUACCAGGGAAGAGGGUGGGGGAGGAAAUGUGUUUUUUCUAAGAUUUCCACAGAUGCUAUAGUGCUAUUGACAAACUGGGUUAGAGAAGGAUUGUACUGCUAUGCUGUUGGCACGAACGCCUUCAGGGAUUGGAGCUGCUUUUUCCCUUGGAAGAGUAUUCCCAGUUGAAGCUGAAAUUACAGCACAGUGCAGCUUUGGUUCAUAUUCAGUCAUCUCAGGAGAACUUCAGAAGAGCUUGACUAGGUCAGAUGUUGAAGUUAAGUUUUCAAAUAAUGUGACUUUUAAAAUACCUUUCUUAAAAGGGGGUGGGCAAAUUUUUGGCAAUUAGUAGUUGGCAGUGGCCUGUUAUGGUUGGGAUUGGGAGGGUUGGGUUUAGGUAAUUGUUUAGUUUAUGAUUUCAGAUAACUCAUGCAGAGAACUUAAAUACUUAGGAUGGAAAAACUAAGGAAAUCUCAACUUCCAAGUUGGCAAGUAACUUCCCGUCCUCUAGGUUUUGUUUUCCCCCAAUUUUUGAAUUGGGCAACUGAGGAAGUUCAUAAAGUUCCUCUGGAUUCAAUGUGUAGGGCCUGGGGAAGGAAAAUGUUAGACUGGGGGUUGGUCUAGCCCUCGGGGCUGACUUAGAUAAAAUCUUGGGAGUAUUUUAAAAUGCCAAAGUUGUUCAGCUAUGGGAGUGUGUGGUUCUCUUUUGGAAUUUUUUUCAGGUGAUUUAAUAUUACUUAAUACUGCUAUAGGAGCUUCAGAGCAAAGGAAGUGGCUUAAUGAUCCUGAAGGGAUUUCUUCUGAUGGUAGCUUUUAUAUUAUCAAGUAAGAUUCUAUUUUCAGUUGUGUAUAAACAAGGUUUUUUUAGUGUAGGAAAGAUUUUUCCUUCCUAUGAAUGCAAAAGGAGAUGUUAAGGUAUGCUUCAAAAUUAUUGUGAAUUGUGUAUUUUACAUUUGUAUCUUACCUAUUUGUAAAUCAUAACUGAUAAAAGAGGGCGGGCUUUUGUUGAUGAGGGAGGGGAAACCUUUUUUUUUUCUGUAGACUUUUUUCAGAUAACGUCUUCUGAGUCAUAACCAGCCUGGCAAUAUGAUGGCCUAGAUGGAGAGGGAACAGCUCCUUGGUGAAUGAUAAGUAAAGGCAGAAAAGAUUAUAUUUCAUAUCUCCAUUGGGGGAAAAGCGUAACCCUGAGAUCCUUACUACUGAUGAACACAUUGUCUGCAUAUGUCAAAAAAAAAUUGAGCCAAUGAAAACUACCAAUUUAAAGUUAAUGGAAUCUACCAAUUUAAAGUUAAUGGAAUCUACCAUUUUAAAGUUAAUGGAAUCUACCAAUUUAAAGUUAAUGGAAUCCACCAUUUUAAAGUUAAUGGAAUCUACUAUUUUAAAGUUAAUGCUUUAUCAAGCUUAUACCUACAAAAGUAACGAAUUGAUGAGAAAUACAAUGAAGAUCAAAUGUCCAUCUCCAAUUACUGCUUUUACAAAAGCAGAAUAAAAAAGCGAAAUGAAAUGAAAAUGAUACUACAUUAAUCCUGGAAUAAAAGAAGCUCAAGUAAUUCAGAGAUGAGUGGGAUCAAGUGGAUUGAGAGGAAGCUGUGCUGUUGCCAAUCUUUCGUUUACCUCAGACAGGUUUCUCUUCAUUAUCAGAAGAGUUGCUUCAUUCCAUCUGGGAGCAGAAAACAGCAGGCAACUGUUAACAGAUAAGUUUAACUUGCAUCUGCAGUAUUGCAUGUUAGGGAUAAGUGCUUAUUUUUAUUAAGAAGUUCUUAAAUAUUGAACUUGGCCAUUUUUCCUGAUCCCUUCCCUAGGGGAUUCCAGGAUUAUGAGGAAUUUUCCCGUCUAGCCUUUUUAAAAUUAGACACAACUCGUGCCUGUGGGCUUCCAUGAUGGGCUAGCACACCUCACUCAGAGGCAAGUAAUUCCUUAAAAGCCUCUUGAGAUUAGUGCCUUAUUCAUAAGGUAACAUAAACUAAGAGAAUUUGUUUAGCAUUGAAUCUCUGAAAACCCUAUGAAAAGAUAGCGUAAAGUGCUGUUAAAACAAUCAGAUAUUUUAAUGUUGCUAAAAUUUAAAUGUGAUGUAUAUUGUAUAGAAAACCAUUAAAUCGUUCAAAAUAAAACAUUUUAAUAGAGAAUGUAUGCUUUUAGAAAGCUGUCUCCUUAUUUAAAUAAAAUAUUGUUUGUUUGUAGUUAGUGCUGGGCAAUCUUGGGGGGAUUCUUCUCAUCUUUCAGAAACUUUGUCUUCGAACACUCUUUAAUGGACAAGAAAGAUCAGGAAUUGAGCGGAAGAACGAACUUAACUUUCUUAAGGCAGGAAAGACAAAUUUUAUCCUUCGUAAAGUGAUGAGCAUUUUAAUAAUUCCAGGCAUAUGGCAAUAGAGGCCCUCUAAAUAAGGAAUAAAUACUACUUAGACAGGUGGGAGAUUAUGAUCAGAAUAACAGGUAACUACACCUACCCUGUUCUGGACAGGAGUCUAAAUUGAGCCUUGUUACACGAGAGUAAUGAUUCUGUCACGUUUCCAAAGUUUGCAUGUUAACUUUAAAUGCUUAUAAACCAUCUCAUCUAGUGUUAGCCAGUGUUUGUACUAUUAGGCACUUGGGGGUCUUGUGGGUUUUUAAAGAAUUUUCCUUUGCAGAAGCUUCAUUUCAUCCUUCAUGAAGCUGUUCAGAAUAUUGACUUGCAUAUAAGCGCUUGGCUCUGCCUUCUAUUCUCCUAGUGAGUGUGUGAGAGACCUUGCAGUGAGUUUAUCAGCAUACUUGAGUACAUUUUUUCCCCCUGAUUUUGGAGGGAAGGGAGGAGGGGGGUGGGGCUUACUUGUUUUAGUUUUUUUUUGCAGACUACACAGAGAACGCAGUUGUCUUGACCUCAGGUCUGUCUGUUCUGUUGGCAAGUAAUAACGCAGUACUGUUCUGAUCUGCUGCUAUUAGAAUGCAUUGUGAAACGACUGGAGUAUGAUUAAAAGUUGUGUUUUCCCCCACUGCUUGGAGUAGUGAUUGUUGAAGGAAAAUCCAGCUGAGUGAUAAAGGCUGAGUGUUGAGGAAAUUUCUGCAGCUUUAAGCAUUCAUGUUUGUGAUUGAAGCCAAGUACCUUUUGCUGUGCUUAGGUAAAAUGCUUUUUUGUUCACUUCUGGUAGGGGGGUGGGGAGGGCACUGAAGCCUUUAGUCUUUUCCAGAUGCAACCUUAAAAUCAGAGUCAAGAAAUAAAUUCCAAACAAGCCACAGUCUUCAGGAAAUUUAACUGGCAAGUGGAAAUGUUGAAGAGUUCAGUGGUCUUAGUGUAUUGUCUUUGUGGGUUUCUCUCUCCCCUCCCUUCGUGUUAAUUCUUACACACAGGAACAUUCAAAACAGCAGACGUACACGAAGGGCCAGAGAAGCCAGACCCAGUAAGGAAAAAUAGCUUAUUUACUUUAAACAAAGAUUCCAUUUUAAAUGUGGGGAUUGGGAACCACUAGUUCUUUCAGAUGGUAUUCUUCAGACUAUAAAAGGAGCUUCCAGUUGAAUUCACCAGUGGACAAAAUGAGGACAACAGGUGAACAAGCUUUUUCUAUGUUUACAUAUUAAGCCAGAUCCGUUGGGUAAAUCCUUUAGUGUUACAGACUUGCAGCUUUAUGCUGGAGUAGAUAGCAUGUGAGCAGGUUGGUUGUUGGCCUGGGGGUGGAGGGGUGAGGUGGGCGCUAAGCCUUUUUUUAAGAUUUUUCAGGUACCCCUCACUAAAGGCACCGAAGGCUUAAAGUAGGACAACCACGCAGCCUUCCUGUGGCAAGAGAGACAACAAAGCGCUAUUACACUAAGGUCACUGCAAAUGGCGUCGGCCUCAUAACGCGCCCCGUCUUCUCGUAGACCUCUGAGGACUUGCCUCAGCGCCCUUGGCAGACAUGCACUGAGGCUCUUUGGGCCUGAAGCAUCCAGAGGAAUGCUUGAGUACCUUGUAUACCCCUGGGCUUGUCCUAACCCAUAAGCUGUUUUUAUAGCAGCUGUUACUAAAGCCCAAACUUCAAGUGAUGCUUGAAGGGGAGGGAAAGGGGGAAAGCGGGCAACCACUUUUCCCUAGCUUUUCCAGAAGCCUGUUAAAAGCAAGGUCUCCCCACAAGUGACUUCUCUGCCACAUCGCCACCCCCUGCCUUUGGCCUAGCGCAGACCCUUCACCCCUCACCUCGAUGCUGCCGGUAGCUUGGAUCCUUGUGGGCAUGAUCCAUUGUCAGUUUCAAGGUAACAGUGGUGCGAGGUCUUCCGGUGGGUUGCACUACUAGAAAAGGCCAUUAACGUGCUUGCAAAUGGUUAAGGUUAUUAAAACCACAACUAAAACCUCUGAUGUUUUAAGUGUACAAAUUUAAACCAGUGAAUGGAGAGCAAUGUUUAAGAACUGUAAUGUUGGGUGGGAAGAUAGAACGUAAAAACUGAAGGAGAUAGGCAUUUUAUUUCAGUGGUUGAGAGGGCGUUGGGUGGGAUUGCAAAAACUCUCUGCUAAGACUUUUUCAGGUGAACAUAACAGACUUGGCCAAGCUAGCAGCUUAGCUGAAGCAGAUUCUCCAGCAGUGCCCUUCCAUAGGGUUGUAAAAGGUUUUGCUUUUUGGCCUUUUCCUAGCUUAAAAAAAAAAAGCAAAAGAUGCUGGUGGUUGGCACUCCUGGUUUCCAGGACGGGGUUCGAAUCCCUGCGGCGUCUGUGCUUGACUGUACCCUCUGCCUUCAGGACUCUCCUUUCCGUUUCCCUCCUCCUGUUCAGGAGGCGGCUCUGGAGUCGGGGGAGGGGCAAGCUGCCAGUGGAGGAGUGUCAGCUCGGCUGAAUUGUCAGAGCCUGGAGUCCGUUUGCAUUCACAUGGAAACCGGAAAACCUCAUAUAACUGCCCUGUCUUUCGUUUUCAGGUGUUUCUUGUGCAUCUGGCAUUUAGAGAAGCCUCACUCCUAAAACCUUAAGAUUUCGUAUUAAUAAAAAUUGAAAAGCUCCUCAUUGGUGUGAUUCUUGUGUGUUGUAAAACCAGAUCUGCUGUGAACGUAGGUGGGAGAAGAUGGGUGUUUGGUGGGGGCUCUGCCUUGUUCCUGGGUAACUUGUGGGCUCAUCACAAGCAAGUACACACAGCACAGCGAUGCAGCCUGAACUUCAUAGGGGAGGCACUUGGAGGGGGAAGUGGCGGAGGUAGUGGGUGAGCGACCUCAAAGACCAGUAACAUCCCCACAGAAAAAAAUGGGAACUUACAGGGGAUUGGUGGUUACCGGGGGGUGGGGGGUGGGCACAGAGGGUGAAGUGGUGCACCUGCAACAUGACUCACAAUGUCCAACUGAAAUUUCACAAGGUUGUAAACUAUCAUAAUCUUAAUAAAAAGGAAAAAGAAAUUGGAACUUCCUUUAAGCAGCCUACUUUCCCACUGUUAGCAGUUGGCAGUGAGCCGUGCUGCGUGGAGAGACGGUGGGGGAUGGGGAGGAGGGGUGUUUCUUUGGCUUCUGUGAAAAACCUGAAGUUUAGAGCCACUUUGAGCCAAUAGAAAGCGAGCUCUGGUGUUUACUCUUAAGUCUUGGGUGACUAGGUCUCACUGUCCUUUUUCAGUUGUCAGUGCCCAGACAACUACAACUCAGUCGUGGUCCCCUGUUGUCCCGUGGAAUGGCCUGGAUACUUACGUGAUGUUCCCUCAUUCUCAGAUAAAAUGUUGAAAUACCCUCACCAUCCCACCUGGCGUCUACUCAGACCCUGUUCCCUGGACGGUUGGGGGAGGCUCACCCCAGUAAACCCAGAGUGGGGCCCAGGUGUGAAGAAAGCUGCAGCCAUCACACAUCUCCGUUCCGGGGAGCCAAGUGGAGGGACCUCAGUGAACAGCUCUUUCCUGCAUUAGCGAACCCACCGCUCAGGAAGGUGUUAUUCAUGUGUUGUAAAUAGCGAAGCAGGCUCUGGUGGGGCCACUUGGCCAAGGCAGCAAACCUGAGAUCUGAACCCUAAUCCAUCAUCUUGUUGCUAUUACUUCAGAGCAUGAAUGUCCUCAGAUGAAGCCACUAUCCAGAUGGGUCAGCAGCAGGUCAACCCCCAACCCCCUUGGCCUGGGCAAGGCCCGGGCAGAGGAUCUCUCUCUUUCCGAGGAGGGAUCUAACCCAGGCAGGGGGCAGAGAGAGGCUGAACCACACACUCUGGUCUUGCUUAAAUGCUUAUUCUGAACUGAUGCCGAGACCCAGCAUCUUAUGGAGAAAGGUCUCCCAUGUUUUUCCAGAGCUGGAAGCCUCCCUCGAAGCACAGACUUCAUUGGAGAGCAAAGAAGUAAGAAACAGGGCUGGGGAUUCGCCCGGAGUUACUUGGUUCCUGGUGUGGAACAGGGUUAAAGUGGGCCAGGAUUGGAAAUGUAAAGGCCAAACAGAGAGUCAUGACAGGAGUGGGCAGGAAGGUAGACCAGAAGCCACUUCCACCUUCUGAGCACAAAGGGAGCAGAGAAGGAGGCCAACGUGAAAUUCCCCCAGAGGCUGUGUCCCAGUAAAGGGGCAGGUCUUGAUAACACAACCCCCAGGUAUGUCCUUUUAUACUCUUCCAGCUGUGCAAAGGGCUCUCACACCGGUUUUUCUGGAUUCCAUCGUUUUGAUAAUCCCAGUAGGGCUGACUACAGCAAACCUGAAUUCAAGUGGUAGCACCACCAUUUCCAAGCCUCUCCAAGCUUCCUUUCAUGCCUCAGGGCCCAGGGCUAGUUGGUGUGGACUUGGGCAGCAGACUUCUGACUUCAGUAAAGGGGCCAUACCAGGAGAGUGAAAGGAUCUGAGGGGAGGGGACAAGGUGUGGAGGAAAGCAAGAUGUAGGAGUGUCUACCUGGGUUGUUGAUGCAGAAGUCCAGAAAAUCUAGGGGUCAUGGGUCAGGCCGUGGCUCCUAGCUCAAACUUGGGGUGUCACCUGCCAUUUCCAGGCCUCCGUUUUCCCACCCGUUAAAUGGGGAUAGUGCCCUGCCUGCCUGCUGUGAC
ensembl:lncRNA